ACGUACACUCCUACGGGAGGCAGCAGUGGGGAAUAUUGGACAAUGGGCGCAAGCCUGAUCCAGCCAUGCCGCGUGAGUGAUGAAGGCCCUAGGGUUGUAAAGCUCUUUCACCGGUGAAGAUAAUGACGGUAACCGGAGAAGACGCCCCGGCUAACUUCGUGCCAGCAGCCGCGGUAAUACGAAGGGGGCUAGCGUUGUUCGGAUUUACUGGGCGUAAAGCGCACGUAGGCGGACUAUUAAGUCAGGGGUGAAAUCCCGGGGCUCAACCCCGGAACUGCCUUUGAUACUGGUAGUCUGGAGUUCGAGAGAGGUGAGUGGAAUUCCGAGUGUAGAGGUGAAAUUCGUAGAUAUUCGGAGGAACACCAGUGGCGAAGGCGGCUCACUGGCUCGAUACUGACGCUGAGGUGCGAAAGCGUGGGGAGCAAACAGGAUUAGAAACCCUAGUAGUCCCAUG
rnacentral:rRNA from 1 species